AGUGAACGCUGGCGGUAGGCCUAGCACAUGCAAGUCGAACGGCAGCACAGUAAGAGCUUGCUCUUACGGGUGGCGAGUGGCGGACGGGUGAGGAAUACAUCGGAAUCUACUUUUUCGUGGGGGAUAACGUAGGGAAACUUACGCUAAUACCGCAUACGACCUACGGGUGAAAGCAGGGGAUCUUCGGACCUUGCGCGAUUGAAUGAGCCGAUGUCGGAUUAGCUAGUUGGCGGGGUAAAGGCCCACCAAGGCGACGAUCCGUAGCUGGUCUGAGAGGAUGAUCAGCCACACUGGAACUGAGACACGGUCCAGACUCCUACGGGAGGCAGCAGUGGGGAAUAUUGGACAACGGGCGCAAGCCUGAUCCAGCCAUACCGCGUGGGUGAAGAAGGCCUUCGGGUUGUAAAGCCCUUUUGUUGGGAAAGAAAAGCAGCAGGUUAAUACCCCGCUGUUCUGACGGUACCCAAAGAAUAAGCACCGGCUAACUUCGUG
rnacentral:rRNA from 1 species